UCGAAAAGAUCUAACCGAUUUAAAUGAAUGAAACCAAGUUUCUCAUAGACUUUACAAGCAAAGCUACUUCUUUUACCAGUUCCAGCUAGUUCCGGAGAAAACUAUGCACAUAUCAUUGUCAAAGUUAACAGGACAUCCAUCCAAAGUAAAGACAUUUAGUGCAGAGAUGGACAAACACAGAAUAAGAAGUUUGAGAGAUGCAUUCAGAAUCUGUUCAAACAUUUCACUUCCCAAUCAGGAUAGUUUACUACAAAGUGGAAAACAACAAAAAAUACCGCACAACAUACAAAGCUUUAUGCUUUAGCUAGUGCACAAAAGGAAAAACAAACAAAGAAGAAUCCAUAAAAACAGGUUAUGUAUAUGUAUACCUUUAGUGGCUUCCAGGAGGGCUUUAGCAACACGGAUUGGAGUCUUUCUGAUUCCUUCUCUAUUGACAUCCUCCCCCAAACCUUGCAAAAGGACUUUAACAGCAUCCUCAAUAUCUAAACUAGUCUCAGGCUGCUGAUCCUCAAAUCCAAGCUGGUCAGGGCAUUCCAGAAAUUUCACUCCGUUCUCAAGCACCACAUGGAAAUGCCCUUCAUCCAAGGCGCCCAUUUACACACAGAGGAGAAGACCCGAGCCUGCACGGACUAGCACCUUCAACCAUCCUUGAUGAUUGGAGUCUUUGAGGAACGAUUCUAAGCUUGGGAAAUGGAGGUGCCAGCACUGGAGCACGACAGCAACACCUGCUGGCUUGAUCCAUUGAUGAAGAGCUGAACAGAUUUCGUUCGCCAGACGUUGUGGGUCUUGUAGACGCUUUGCAAAGACAUCAGCCACCCUGGAAAGCUUGCUUAACCCUACAACUCUCUGACCAGAUGGGAUAUAACCCACGUGGCAUUUGAACUGGAACGGGAGCAGGCAAGACUCACAGUACGAGAAGAGAUCGAGAUCCCGGACAACCACAAGUCCCCCAGCUCCUCCUGCAUGCCCUACUGUAGCAUUCAAACCAGCUUCCGGAAACAAAGCCCCCUCAACUAUGUCCUUCACCUUCUGCUUAUAACCUGUUACAUUUACAUAGAAUUAAAGCUCGAAAAGAUCUAACCGAUUUAAAUGAAUGAAACCAAGUUUCUCAUAGACUUUACAAGCAAAGCUACUUCUUUUACCAGUUCCAGCUAGUUCCGGAGAAAACUAUGCACAUAUCAUUGUCAAAGUUAACAGGACAUCCAUCCAAAGUAAAGACAUUUAGUGCAGAGAUGGACAAACACAGAAUAAGAAGUUUGAGAGAUGCAUUCAGAAUCUGUUCAAACAUUUCACUUCCCAAUCAGGAUAGUUUACUACAAAGUGGAAAACAACAAAAAAUACCGCACAACAUACAAAGCUUUAUGCUUUAGCUAGUGCACAAAAGGAAAAACAAACAAAGAAGAAUCCAUAAAAACAGGUUAUGUAUAUGUAUACCUUUAGUGGCUUCCAGGAGGGCUUUAGCAACACGGAUUGGAGUCUUUCUGAUUCCUUCUCUAUUGACAUCCUCCCCCAAACCUUGCAAAAGGACUUUAACAGCAUCCUCAAUAUCUAAACUAGUCUCAGGCUGCUGAUCCUCAAAUCCAAGCUGGUCAGGGCAGUCUAGAAAUUUCACUCCGUUCUCAAGCACCACAUGGAAAUGCCCUUCAUCCAAGGCGCCCAUUUACACACAGAGGAGAAGGAAUCGGUGGAGAGCAGAUUACAACCAAUCCACCCCCACAAGGCAGAUCAGAUCCUCUACAACACGAAGCCCAAAACUUCAAUGAUAAUAAAAAAACGAAGCCAAAUUCAAAACGGAUCGAAAUCGUCAAAAAUCGACGGGCAACGGAAAGAAAAAGGAAAGGAGAUCUCAGAGGGAUACCCAGAUGGAGAUGAGACAGCUGAUCCUUUUGGAUGGGGGGAAAUGAGUGGAUCCGUUAAUUUUCUGGAAUAAAUGGGUAGGGUUGAAUGAAUGAAUGAAAGACGAGGAGAAAACAAACGGUGGAGGAUUGAUAAGAUUUAUAUAUGAACAGAUAAUUUGGUCUCCGUCAUUGGGAAGUGUGGGGACGUUGAAUCAACCUUUGUGGUGGUAGCAGAGCUCUCUGGUCGGUGCUCUGGUUUUGGCUGUUUGUAUAUGGCGGUAGGUGGAGAUCUGAGUUUGGGGGGCGGGGAUCGAUUGGGAUUUCGCUGUCAAUUUUGA
rnacentral:lncRNA from 1 species